rnacentral:misc_RNA from 1 species
AACCCUUGUGGAGGAGGACGCCGAAGGUGGGGCUAAUGACUGGGGUGAAGUCGUAACAAGGUAGCCGUACCGGAAGGUGCGGCUGGAUCACCUCCUAACAGGGAGACAACAAAAUGUAAAUAUUAAUUUUGUCACCUUAGGUCGAUCGGUAUCUCAGAUUCUUAUUAUUUAAGAAUUUCAGUUUCUAAGUUUUUUCUAGGUCACACCCAUCACUUUUUCCUGGGCCAUUAGCUCAGGUGGUUAGAGCGCACCCCUGAUAAGGGUGAGGUCCCUGGUUCAAGUCCAGGAUGGCCCAUAUCUCUAUGUUGGGGGUAUAGCUCAGUUGGUAGAGCGCCUGCUUUGCAAGCAGGAUGUCAGCGGUUCGAGUCCGCUUACCUCCACUGAAUACCACCUCUUACAUAUAGUUGAAGUGGGAAAUUGUUUUGAGUCGUGUCCUAAUUUGCUCUGAGCGAAUCUAGCUUCCUAUUUUAUCCAAGAAAUAAGAUGCUGGACUCAUUGAAUUUUUUUUCAUUGUUUUCAGAGAACCUUGACAACUGCAUAGAUUAUUUUUAAAGACAAUAAGCAUCUUUAAUGAUGCAGAUUUAUUAUUUGUGCGAAUGCAUUAAAUAACAAUUCUAUUAAGCUGAUGCUUCAAUUAUUGAAGUUAUUGGUCAAGCUACAAAGGGCUCACGGAGGAUACCUAGGCAC